UUUUGUAUGUGAUUUAGGAUGAACAGAGGUUCUCCCACAUAUAUUUUCUGAAGCCAAGAUCUAAAAUACAAAUAAUAACCAGAGGGUUAUAAAUGUUAAAAUAGUAUAAGCCUCGGGCUGUGUGAUAAUAUGCAGGGACUUAUAUGUAGUGAAGAUAAAGUCUGAGGACUUAAUCAAACAAUAGCGAAGAGGAUAAGAAUCCCCAAUUUCUGCUCAUGUGCGGCUAGGGAUUCACCCAGUCGGCGCUUCCGAUUACAUUAACCUGAGCGCUGAACUGCAGAUUCCAUGUGCUUAGAUGGCAUUAGAGUAGAACUUAGGCUAUCCUCAGUAAGGGAGAGGUGCCGGGGGGAGUUGCUGCGGUUGGCCGUCGGCCUGUCGCCUUGUGCCGCAGGAAGCCAUAACCAACGUGUCGGCUUUGCACUGGCUAGAAUCGAGGAGUCGGGCCGUGGCUGAAGGAUCCAGCGAGUGCGGGGGAUUCGACGGUGAUGCGCUUGUGGAAGCAUGCAGCCGGAACCGAGGCGACAUCGCCGCGUGCCUGAGGGCUUGGCCGAAGGGUGGGGCGACUCGUCGACUGCCGCACCAUGUCCUGAUGGAGCAAUGAGACCUACGGAAGAUUGCACGAGAUGACGACGUGCACGUGAAAGCUCCGCAUCUGAGUAAUACACAAUCGAUCAUGUCUUCUUGUGAUUUAUGCGAGUACGUACACAUGAGAAAAGCAAUCCAUUGUUAGAUUAUUGAUUGAUCACAAGAAUAUUAGAUCAAAUAGCUAAGGAUUAAAUAGGUAAUCUCUUUUAUUAUUUUCUUGAUUGAGGCAGAUCGACAAGCUUUCUUCUUCCUUCUUCUCUGUUCGUCCUUUUCUUUUCUGAUGUCUUCACUUGAUUGAAAAAAUGCGAACAUGAGGAUGAUCAUUGCGUCUAUGUAGAUUGACGCCCCUCGUUCACCGUUGUUCUUGUUCUGUCAAAUCGCUCGAUGCGAGAGCAAAGUGCGUGAUAACGUGUUUGAAGUAAAAAGUAAAGAAACGAAAGAGAUGAAUGAAAGAUGAAUCAUUAGUCUUUAUUGAUGAUAGCAAUGGGGUAUUUAUACCCGGGCGGAAGUACACAUGUUGCUUGGGAGUCAAGUAACUUAAAGUUACUUAAGGGCCAAGUUAUUACAUAGUUUCCUUGAGAGUCAAGGAAGUGCAUGGUUGCUUGAGGACUAAAUAACCUAUCUAAGAAUUAACUUAAUCCUAAUCAGCUUAAUUAAGAAACUAAUCUAUUCUUAACACAUGACACUCACCACGCGUGUGCCACGCGAGAUGCGUGUGUGCUCCAUCCACGUCAGCGCGACGAGCGGGAUAAGCUCGGCGCUACUGUCCCAACCUCGUCGAGCCCUCCAUUCUUCCACCUCGCCCUCUUUCACUCUCCUGUCACCAUGUCCGAGCACCGCCGCUCGUCGCACCCAUGGGCCAUGGCCACCGGCAACCAUUCUCUAAGUCGUUGCACCCAAAAGCCCCGCCAUGUCUUCUACAUAAUCUAUGACGAGCCAAGCAACCAGGGAAGCCCUGCAGCACCCCCACUGUCCCCAGGAUCAUCGCUCGUCACAGAACAAGGUCAUUGUUGAGUCGUCGUCAUCGAGCUGCUCUCGAGGCCCAAGAGUAUCUCUACGAGUUCUGCAUGAGCCCCUUCAUCUUCUCUUUCUCUUACCCGCCUCGAUUUUGAGGUAUAGAUUGCCCCCCGCCAUACCUGAAUCUCACCGCAACCCAGCCAUGUCGUCGUCAUGGCUUGAGCUCAAGUCGACCCCGAAUUUUGCAACCCACCGUGCUCACCACCUCGCCACGAGCUCAGUGAGAUCCUCAAAGAGCCCUCCCGUGCCCCGCAAUCAUAUGGCCGCUCAAGGUCGAGGUCCAGCAGCUGACCAAGAGCUCUUUGGCGUUCAUUCCGGCCACCCCACAGCCCCUCACGACCAUCCUUAGAUGCGGGCCCUAGGUGCUCUCACAUGCCGAUCCCGUGGUCUCUAGCAGGACUCCGCCAUGUUUCUGGGUCGCCACCGCCCGAUUCCUGCGACACCCGAAGUGGCACUAUGAAAUAACAGAUAAUGACGCUCCUAACAAAACCCGUGCCUCACUAACACCAGGACCCACCCGCUAAAUUAACCCCUGGUUAAUUUAGUAAGUUAUAAUUUAACCCUCUAUUAAACCCUGAGACGGUGAUAGGUCGGACCCAUACGUCAAUUUUGACCAGGACCCGAUGUGUUGACCUGUUGGGGUCAUCAUGAUGUAAUACUGAUGCGAUAAAUGAUUUAUGGAAUUAAAAUAAAUCUUAAAUGAUUUAUUUAGUUUACAAGAUGUUUAAAACUUUGAAAAUUCAUAUAAAAUAAUCUAUAACUCGGAUAAAAUAGUUUAUUGUAUGAAAAAUGAUCAGAAAAAUAUGAAGAAUUUGUUUAUGUCAUGCCCAUGCAUAUUUGAGCAAGUUAACAUCACCAAGUAGGAAAUUUCAUGAUUAGGGCAAUUGAUGAAAUAACAAUUGGAGUUGGAAUGUGAACAAGGUUUUAAUUGUACUUCAAUUAAUAUGACUAGCUAUUGCAUUAGGUCAAUAGAUUACCUUAACAUGUCAUACCAUUCAUUUCAUUGUGCAUUGUAUUGACUGUGGUCCUUCUUUGUUUGCCGAUGUUUGUUUCCCCUCGGUAGGCGUUGUUUCGAUGAUGAGAUCAAUGUCACCGAUGAAGACUUAUUGUUAUCUUCAAAAGUGCGAGGCAAGAAAGCCCUCCUUGAGCAUCUUGAAAGAAUCCCA
rnacentral:lncRNA from 1 species